rnacentral:misc_RNA from 1 species
GCAAACUUGGUCAUUUAGAGGAAGUAAAAGUCGUAACAAGGUUUCCGUAGGUGAACCUGCGGAAGGAUCAUUAACAAAUCCAUCAUACGAUGACCCUACCUUGUGUGCAUCUGUAAAAAACUGCCCUUUGGAGUAAAGAUUUUGGUACUUGUGUGUGCCAAUCUUUCUCCAAAGGGUUUUUACAAACGUCUCUUUGAACAAGUAAAAAAUUUUAAACCACAAUAAAUACAACUUUCAACAACGGAUCUCUUGGCUCUCGCAUCGAUGAAGAACGCAGC